rnacentral:tRNA from 1 species
GGGCUUAUGUCGGCCCUGGUCAGGCACGUGCUCGGAUCGCCUUGCAAGCGAGAUGUCACUGGUUCGAACCCAGUAGUGCCCACCA